UAUCCUUCCGCCGUCUCCUCAGGGCGGGCUGACGCGUUCAGCCCAGCCAGGCCGCGGCGGGACGAGGAAAGCAGCGUAGGAGAUGGCGAGUUAUUGAGCUCAACUGGAAGCGGUAACGCACAGCUCCCAGCCAUUGUGAAGAGACUAAAAUUUGUGCUACUUUUCCAGCCCCAGGCUCAGGCUGUGCUAUCUGAAGCUUCUUGCAGCAUUUGGUUCUUCUCGUUUUGUGUUGCUGCUGGCCUUCUAAUGCCAGAGAUCACCACAGGAAAUAUCUG